rnacentral:rRNA from 1 species
UACGGAGGGGGCUAGCGUUGUUCGGAAUUACUGGGCGUAAAGCGCACGUAGGCGGCUUUGCAAGUCAGAGGUGAAAGCCCGGGGCUCAACCCCGGAAUUGCCUUUGAGACUGCAUCGCUAGAAUUGUGGAGAGGUAAGUGGAAUUCCGAGUGUAGGGGUGAAAUUCGUAGAUAUUCGGAAGAACACCAGUGGCGAAGGCGACUUACUGGACACAUAUUGACGCUGAGGUGCGAAAGCGUGGGGAGCAAACAGG